GACGAACGCUGGCGGCGUGCCUAAUACAUGCAAGUCGAGCGGACCAAAGGGAGCUUGCUCCUGGAGGUCAGCGGCGAACGGGUGAGUAACACGUGGGCAACCUGCCUGUAAGACUGGGAUAACAUCGAGAAAUCGGUGCUAAUACCGGAUAAUAAAAAGAACUGCAUGGUUCUUUUUGAAAGAUGGUUUCGGCUAUCACUUACAGAUGGGCCGCGGCGCAUUAGCUAGUUGGUGAGGUAACGGCUCACCAAGGCAACGAUGCGUAGCCGACCUGAGAGGGUGAUCGGCCACACUGGGACUGAGACACGGCCCAGACUCCUACGGGAGGCAGCAGUAGGGAAUCUUCCGCAAUGGACGAAAGUCUGACGGAGCAACGCCGCGUGAGUGAUGAAGGUUUUCGGAUCGUAAAACUCUGUUGUUAGGGAAGAACAAGUGCCGUUCGAAAGGGCGGCACCUUGACGGUACCUAACGAGAAAGCCACGGCUAACUACGUGCCAGCAGCCGCGGUAAAG
rnacentral:rRNA from 1 species